rnacentral:rRNA from 1 species
GACGGAGGAUGCAAGUGUUAUCCGGAAUCACUGGGCGUAAAGCGUCUGUAGGUGGUUUAACAAGUCCACUGUUAAAAAUUGAAGCUUAACUUCAAAGAUGCCGUGGAAACUUUUAAACUUGAGGAUGAUAGGGGUAGAGGGAAUUUCCAGUGGAGCGGUGAAAUGCGUAGAUAUUGGAAAGACCACCAAUGGCGAAGGCACUCUACUGGGCCAUUACUGACACUGAGAGACGAAAGCUAGGGGAGCGAAUGGG